CCAAAGAUUUAUCGCUGUGAGAUGGCCUCGCGUCUGAUUAGCUAGUUGGUGAGGUAACGGCCCACCAAGGCGACGAUCAGUAGCCGGACUGAGAGGUUGAUCGGCCACAUUGGGACUGAGACACGGCCCAGACUCCUACGGGAGGCAGCAGUGGGGAAUAUUGGGCAAUGGGCGCAAGCCUGACCCAGCAACGCCGCGUGAAGGAAGAAGGCUUUCGGGUUGUAAACUUCUUUUAUUAGGGACGAUAAUGACGGUACCUAUUGAAUAAGCUCCGGCUAACUACGUGCCAGCAGUCGCGGUAAUACGUAGGGAGCAAGCGUUAUCCGGAUUUACUGGGUGUAAAGGGCGUGUAGGCGGGACUGCAAGUCAGAUGUGAAAACUAUGGGCUCAACUCAUAGCCUGCAUUUGAAACUGUAGUUCUUGAGUGCUGGAGAGGCAAAUGGAACUCCUAGUGUAGCGGUGAAAUGCGUAGAUAUUAGGAAGAACACCAGUGGCGAAGGCGAUUUGCUGGACAGUAACUGACGCUGAGGCGCGAAAGUGUGGGGAGCAAACAGGAUUAGAUACCCUGGUAGUCCACGCCGUAAACGAUGAUUACUAGGUGUGGGGGGACUGACCCCUUCCGUGCC
rnacentral:rRNA from 1 species